rnacentral:lncRNA from 1 species
UCAGGUGCAUAUCUGAAAAUUAAGCAGAAGGCCGUGUAUGAUGAAGGUAAAAUGGGUUCUGAGCAUCGGCUUGACUCCACAAUGAAUGGCCAGAUCACCUUGGACAAAUCAGAUGAAUACUGCUUAUUUUUUUUAAGGACAGAAAAACCCUGCUUUUCUGCCUCAGUGUGAAGCAUGCACUGAAUAUCCUCUAUGUGUAAAUGGAAAGCACUGGGAUUGAAGCUGGGGAGUAGAGGUCUGCUUGGAGAGUUGUGCCAUGUGCCUGCUGCAGGCUCAUCCCUGCUGGUUUUAACUGUGCUGACACCGGGCAGUGGAACAUAUUUCUCCCCUCCUCUCAGUGGCUGUGGAUGACUGUCUUUAGGAUUAGUUCUUUAUGGAAGCCACAGCAAUGAACAAGACACAAUCCUGGACCCCAUGAGCUCACAGUGAGUGACAGCAGCCACUACAGUGUUAACGAAAGUUUAAUUCGGAGGCCAAUGGGCUGGGAUGGCCCCAGCACUUUUAGUUCCUAUGAACAACUUAUGAAAUUUUCUGUCUCACCUCUGAAGCCCUAGAGAAGUGCUACACUGCUUGCAGUCUGGUGCUGCCCAAUUUAUGAACUGCUGUCUGUUCAAAUAAACUCCACAGAAUUUUAAUGUGCCUAAGUUGAUCUUUUAACAACAGAAAUGCCCAAACCUCAGGAAAACAAGGAUGGCUCACCCUAGAUAGCCAAGCAGGGCAUGAGACGACGUCCUGUGCAUGGGAGUCACCUAGCUGGUGAGUGAGCAGCUGGAUGUAGACCGUGCAUGCCAGAUUUUGUUUAAGGCUCUCCCAUGUGGGUGUGCAGCACAUGCACUGAUAUGAGCCACAUGGCCUCUUCCUGCCUGCAAAGCUUCCACUUGACACAUUUGCUGGCACUGAGCCAUCCUUGCAUUCCUGAGAUAAACCUUACAUGAUUGAGAGCCAUCACUGUGUUAAAAGUAUGGGCACAUGCAUAUUUAUUAGGUAUACAUAGGCAUACUUCUGUACCUGUAAAUGUCUAAUGUCUUAUUUAAUAUUUUCCAUCUGUUCCCAGCAGUCAAUCUGACCUAUAAUUUUCUUUUCUUAUUCUGUCCUUGGCCUGUUUUGUUACCAAGAAUAUAUCAUUCUCAUGUUAGCCAAGUAGCUUUCCCCUCUUUUGUAUUCCCUGGCACAUACUCACUCACUCUUUCUCUCUCUCUCUCUCAAGGAAAGAGAGAUCUAGUUAUUUAAAAUUAUGGAUUUAUUUACUGGUAGUAAGUUUAUUUGCAUUCUCACUGAAUUGUUCAAUUUUAUUUUUUAGACAAAUUGUCCUUUUUAUCUAGC